CACUCUGCGCCGACCGGCUGGGCCUGGCACCCGCGGGCGGCCCCAGCCUCAGUCUCCAGCUACCUUUGCCUCCUGCGGCCGCCCCCAGGCAGAGCUGCGAUCCCACCGCCGGGGGUGCAGGGAGAGGGAAGAUCUGGCCUCCUUGGUCCUUUUGCGUGGGCUCUUCAGAGCGUGAGCGCCGGGGAGGGACUCCGGAGAAAAGCUUGGGGGGCUGCGUAUUGCUGCUCCCCAAGCUGGGCGUCAGGACCAACCCCGCCGCCCCCACGGGCCUGACGGGAGAGGAGGAAGGGCUCGGGACGGUCGGCUCGCCGAGCCAACCAGGUGGCGCCUGAAGAGCUGUCCAUGGUGUCGACAGCCCAGCAAACGGCACCGAGUUCCUAGUCUGAGUGUCUGGAUAGGUAGCAGAAGAAAAACUAAUGCCUGCUCUGGGACAGUUCUGUUCGGUGCCUUUUCUUGUGUGUUCUGGAGCUCACAGGGUUCUAUCGAAGAGUGCUUAGGUGUAUACGAUGGAGAGUGGGACGUCACAAACCAGGAUCUCAAGGCUGAGUCCAACAAAACAUGGCCGUAGGGAGGCCACGACAGCUGUGGUUGUCACCGACGGAUGAAUAGCUUUUGCCAACCGUGGAAUUUAGUAACUAAAGGCACCUAACCCUUUUAUCUCAUCCUCAUUUUUCAACAAAUGGUGCUUCCUGGCUAAUAUCAGCGUGUCCCAUAGAUUUCUGCUUCCAUUGAAUAGACCUAAUAAGAAAGAGAAUGAAGUCAAAGCCAACAGGGCAGAAAGAAAUUGAAAACCUGAAGAACCCAGCACUCAAACUGUCUCCACUUGCGUUUGCUUUUUCUUUACCUCUUCUCCUUCUGGUUUUCAACAGCCAAAGCAGGAUUUAAAUUUGGUUAUGUUGCAAAAAUCAUUUCCCUCUUCAGGCCCUGUCAUGUGACUUGAUUUUUUCGUCCAUUUUAGAGAAGCUGUACCCACCCUGGUUUCAGGACACGGAACUAAAUUUAUUAGAAAAGAAGCCACUUCAAGUCAUGAAGGAGAAACACAAAGAUUCUUGGAUUUAGUUCUAAGAACUAGAGGGGAUUUCUAUGUCAGUACUGUCUCAGAAAAAACUGUUGAUAUCAAAUGUGUUGCUUGAGAAGUACCUUUUUUUUUUUGAGACGGAGUCUCGCUCUGUCCGCCCAGGCUAGAGUGCAGUGGCGCGAUCUCGGCUCACUGCAAGCUCCGCCUCCCGGGUUCACGCCGUUCUCCUGCCUCAGCCUCCCGAGUAGCUGGGAUUACAGGUGCCCACCACCACGCCCGGCUAAUUUUUGUAUUUUUAGUAGAGACAGGGUUUCACCGUGUUAGCCAGGAUGGUCUCGAUCUCCUGACCUCGUGAUCCACCCGCCUCGGCCUCCCAAAGUGCUGGGAUAACAGGCGUGAGCCAUCGCGCCCGGCCGAGAGGUACCUUUUAUGACAACUGAAAUCAUUCAGUUUCAAGAGGAGUUGGGUACUGAAACCAAACUUGCUUACUCCAAAGCCCAAAAUCCUUUCCACCAUGCCUGUGUGUCUGUAAGGCUACACUAGAAAUGCUUCCUUUCUUAUAGUGGGAAGCAUGGGUACUAAGCUCUUUUACGAACAAGUGUUCUGCAUAUUCCUGGUUCCUUUUUAUUUUGGACUGAGGAGAUUUAGGUCAAAAUUUCUGGGUUCUGGGUUGGAAUUCCAGCUUCUUUCUUCAAAUUAAACUGGGGGGUAGCAAGACUUAUUCCUAGAUUUGUUAGAAGGCCACAGCUUUUCCACAUCUCAUUUUAGUCAUGAAAAAGACACAUGCCCAGAGUUUGAAAAACAUAAAGGCAAUUUGACUAGUGGCUUGAUUGGUUCUAUCUUCUUUUUCUUGUCCCUCUUUCCUAUUUAUACUUCUACUUUUGUUACAGCAUUUGACAAUAGUUGGAAAAAUUUUCACUGACCUUGAAAUGUCUUUGGGAUAGGGUGACUUAAAAUAUAGGUUAAGUGGCAUACACAAACUUCUUAGUGAGAUCCUAAGGGCCUACAGAGACAGGCUGACACCAACUCAACCCUUGAAACUGUGCAAUGAAGAGCCUGUGGGAGGCUAAAAAACGCUACUUCAAAAAGAGAUCCUUGUCUGUGAAUGUUAAUUUAGGUUUACAGAUUUGAUUAAGGGUCUUGAGAUUAUUUUCAAUUAUCCAGGUGGGCCCUAGAGCCCUAGAUGCAAUCAUAAGUGUCCUUAUAACAGGGAGGCAGAGGAAAAUUAAACACGCACACAGGAGAGAGAGAGAGAGAAAAAAAAGUGAUGUGAAGACAGCAGCAGAGAUUGGAGCGAUGUGGCCAUAGCCAAGCUAUGUCAGCAGCCAUCAGAAGUUGGAAGAGGCAAGGAAGGAUUUGAGCCUAGAGCCUUUGGAAGGAGCAUGGCCCUGUUGGUUCUGGCCUCCAGAACUGCAAGAAAAUACAUUUUUGUUGUUUUAAACCACCCAGUUCAUGGUAAUUUGUAACACCAGCUACAAGAAAUUAACACAAGGCUGAUGUGACUUUCCAUCAGGAGAGAGACAGCCCCAGCCACCCUGUGAAGACGUGCCUUUCGUCAAGAUUGUAAGUUUCCUGAGGCCUUCCCACCCAUGCGGAACUAGUUUUAUUUGAGAAAAUGCCAUACCACUGAAGAAAAUUGCCUAACAGCUGGAAAGAAGAAAAAAAAUAGGAAAAAAUCUUCCUGUGACUUCCUACAACUUUUGGGAUAAGGACCAAAGUAUUUCAAAUGACCUACAAGAUCCUCUAUCAUCUGGACUAUGGACUUACUUGCUCACUCCAGCUGUCCUAUGCUUUCUUCAGCGCCUCCAGUGUAGCCUGCUCUCUUUCACCUCAGGGCUAACUUCUAUUUUUUCUCCAGGUCGAAUGAUCUAAAUAUCACUUCCUCAGGGUGGAAGGAAAUCUUCUGGGACUAGCUAGUCAAGGUCUCUGUGCCCCUUGUCAUAUGUUCCACAUUACCUUGAAUGUCCCCUUUCAUAACUCAUCACACCUGAGAUUACCUAUUUGUUGUCAACUGUGCUGGACUGUGAACUCCACAAAGAUUCCACUUCUAGCUUACUCAGUGCUAUAUCCCCGAACCUCAGAAGAGUAUCUGCUACAGCAGUACUCCUUAUCUGUGGUUUCAGUCAGCUGUGGCACAGUACAAUAACAUAUUUUGAGAGAGAAACUACAUUCAUAUAACCUUUACCACAGUAUAUUAUUAAUAACUGUUCUAUUAUUAGUUAUUGUUAAUCUCUUACUGUGCCUAAUUUAUAAGUUAAACUUUAUCAUAGGUAUGUAUGUAGAGGAAAAAACAGUAUAUAUAGGGUUCGGUACUAUCUGUGGUUUCAGGUAGCCACUGGGCAUCUUAGAACAUAUACCCCAUGGAUACAGGGAGGACUACUGUAGUCUACUUGCUGAAAAAAUUAAUUGUGGCUUAGUCAGGCAUUUCGUUGAGUACGAUGGACCUUACUUUGGAACUCAGAAAUCACUUUCUCCUGUGAAAAUAUCAAACUUGAAUGAACUUUUGGAAUAAAAUACUUUGUAAAAUGGA
rnacentral:lncRNA from 10 species